ensembl:lncRNA
UUAAGAACCACUGCCAUAGGGGCUUAGUGUAGUGGUGCAGUUGUAAGUAGUAUAGGCCUAUUACUUAGCUAGCCUACACACACAACACAAUCCCAGUGUAUAUUGCUGUAGGUGUAGUCCCACCAUAGACUACAUUACCCACAAUCCCAGUGUAUAUUGCCAUUUAUGCCAUGUAUCUGCCUUUUCAGAACAUAAUGUUUUUCAAAAUAUCAGUAGGCUUACAAUAUUCAAAAUGAUUCUAACAUUCCACUAGCUAUGAAUGAAAGUGCACAGUAUUUCCUACCAAUAACAUAAGCCUACUACACAGAUUUACGUUACACUACUAAUCUUUUCUACUGCUUUUGUGCUUACAAUAUAGAUGGCAAAGGCUGCUCUUACAUGUUGAAGAAGAGUUAUAUGUUCCCAAAUAGAACUGCUGCAUCUCCUGAUGAAUGUGCUCAGAAUCAGAUAUGAGCUCCUCACUUUGCCAAAGGGUCCGACCUUGGACAGAGAAGGCAUGCCAUUCCAAAGUACCUCCCCAGUGCUGGCCAUGGGUUGUGUGUACUAGGGGUGGGGAAAAAAAUCGAUUCUUCGAUUUCUCUCGAUUCUCUCUAGAACGAUUCUGUCUCUAUUUUUUUUUACACAUCCGUUUUGUGUUGAAAUGCAAGCAGCAUCGAUUAUUGCAUUGUUCAUAGAAAGUCAUAAUUGUGACAAGGAAAAGCUUUUUCUCUAAUAAAAAAAUAGAGAAGGUAAUUCAUCUGUUGAUUUUCUUUAAUUAUCAAACACAAAGUAGGAAGUGAUUUGAGACUCUGAGUAGCAAACUCAAAUGUUUUAAAAAUCGAGAUGCAUCAAUAAUCAUUUUAUCGGUUUAGAAUUGAUAAUCGAUAAUCAGUUUAGUAUCGAUAAUCAGUUUAGAAUCGAUAAUCGGUUUAGAAUCGAAUCGUUGACCUCUGAAUCGGAAUCGAAUCGAAUCGUGAGGUGCCAAGAGAUUCCCACCCCUAGUGUGUACAUCUGCUGAAGUGAAAAUGGAAAUGUUCUUGUGAUGGAGCCUUUAUGGAACAACAUUUGCCGGUUUCAGGUUCUAAUGAGUUAAACAUGUUUGCACAACAUUGACACUGCAGCUCUGAAAGUAGUAGCCUAAAACGUCUAUGCUGUGUAAUUUAAUUUGUUUCAGGGCUCAAACCUGUCCAUGAUUGAACCCUUAUUAGGCAGGCAGAACAGGUUGAAAGUGAUUUUGCUCUAAGCAGUUGCUAUCUGAUUAAAACAGACUCUUUAUCCUUUAUCCAUCCACUGCAUCACAUAAGGUCUCCAAAGCGAGUGUAUGAUGAGGAUUGACCAUGUAUUUAGUUUGUCCUGACACCUGUUCACUGUAUGGUCUUUUAUUAAUCAUUCUCUGUCAAGGAAAUGUGUAACAGAACAUUCUUGUAAGGUUACAAAUGAGCUUUCGAGUCGGAGUUCUCUUGGCUGGUCACUCAGAGGACAUGGCUUCCAUUUUUGAGGGCUGUUCCAUGUUCUUUUGUAUUGAGUUGGAAAAUCCGUCUGGGAAAUAUCAUUCAUAUGUGUGGCAUUUUGCCCAUACUGUAAUGAAUACAGGGAAUGGAACUAACAUAAGAAGAGAAAAACGUUAGCACACUAAAAGAGAAGUACUGUUUUGAACUAACAUAAGAGGAGGAUAACUUUAGCACACUAAAAGAGAAGUACUGUUUUGAACUAACAUAAGAAUAGAAAAAUGUUAGCACACUAAAAGAGAAGUACUGUUUUGAACUAACAUAAGAGGAGGAUAACUUUAGCACACUUAAAGAGAAGUACAGUUUUGUGACAGAUGUUGUAUACACCCACGGUGGUCUGUAAUAGUCUUUACCUUUUGCUGUGUGUUGGACUGUUUGUUGGUUCUUAUUAAGAUACUGAAUGAGAAAGUUGAGUCUUGCUUGCCAGCCAGAGUUUCUCAGUGUUUCCUCUAUGUCUCACCCUCUGGUGUGCAAUACCGCAGACCCUACAUUCUAUGCUGAUGAGAGUUACUGUAUGCUGUAAAGCUGCCUUGUCCC